UUUGAACGCUUUGUCUUAUUGAUACAAAUAAGUGAAUUAAUGUUUGUUGUUUAUUUUUUUUUGUGACUAAAAUUUUCUUUAUGACGACCUCAGAUUAGGCGAGACUACCCCCUAAAUUUAAGCAUUA
rnacentral:rRNA from 1 species